UACAGAGGUCUCAAGCGUUGUUCGGAUUCAUUGGGCGUAAAGGGUGCGUAGGCGGCGCGGUAAGUCGGGUGUGAAAUUUCGGAGCUUAACUCCGAAACUGCAUUCGAUACUGCCGUGCUUGAGGACUGGAGAGGAGACUGGAAUUUACGGUGUAGCAGUGAAAUGCGUAGAGAUCGUAAGGAAGACCAGUGGCGAAGGCGGGCUCUGGACAGUUCCUGACGCUGAGGCACGAAGGUCAGGGGAGCAAACGGG
rnacentral:rRNA from 1 species